rnacentral:rRNA from 1 species
AGAACGACUCUCGGCAACGGAUAUCUCGGCUCUCGCAUCGAUGAAGAACGUAGCGAAAUGCGAUACUUGGUGUGAAUUGCAGAAUCCCGUGAACCAUCGAGUCUUUGAACGCAAGUUGCGCCCGAAGCCUUCUGGCCGAGGGCACGUCUGUCUGGCCGUCACGC